rnacentral:snoRNA from 13 species
GCCUUGUGGUUACUGGUUGCUGUUAUUGAUGCAGUACUCCAGUUGAUAGAAACUGGCCAAAAGUAAUUCUGUGAUUUUUUGCAUGGAGUCUGUAAUUCCUCAGCAGCCUCCAUAGCCCGGUCACAGUUACACAA